AGGUUGCUAGUUUGUUUGAAAUGGACGAGGAGAAGCUUCAGAAAUUCGUGGAAGCCUACCUGAAGAAGAAAGGGCUCAAGUUAACGGAGCACGCUCUCCAAGAAGAACUUCAGCCGUCUUCCUCCCCGGUCUCUCAAUUCGACCCCGACGUCGUCAGGCAAAUCCUCGCCUUCUCCGAAUUUGAGGAUGGUCCAGCACGUUACCAAGAUGGAUAUGCCAAGUUGAGGUCAUGGACUUAUACUUCUCUGGAUUUGUACCGGCAUGAGUUGCUUCGUGUUCUUUAUCCGGUAUUCAUUCAUUGUUUCAUGGAUCUGGUUGCCAAAGGUCAUAUUCAAGAAGCUCGGACAUUUUUCAAUAGCUUCCGUGAAGACCAUGAAAUGAUGCACCUACGAGAUCUACAGAAGUUGGAAGGAGUUCUUUCUCCCUCUCAUUUAGAGGAGAUGGAAUUUGCUCAUUCUCUUAGGCAAAGCAAAGUGAACAUAAAGAUAUGUCAGUACUCCUACGAGCUUCUGCUACAGUUUUUGCACAAGUCACAGUCCACCACAAUGCUUGGGAUUAUCAAUGAGCAUAUUAAUUUCCAAGUUUCUCCUGGACAACCUAGCUCAAUUACUGAUGAUGCUGAGGCUGUAACACUUACUGGAGGCAGCCAGGAGUCGGCUAAUCAAAUAAACCAGAAGGAAAUUCAUUGGGGGUUGCUUGAAGAUUCCUUGGAAGAACGCUUGGAAAAGGCCGGGGGAAUGGCUUUAGAUUCUGAAAAAGCAGAAGGGGAAACCAAAGAAGGGGAGGGUGAUGAAAAUAAGAAAAAAUCAAUUGAAGGAGGUAAACAGGGUGCUUCAAUCAAAAAGCAAAAAAAGGACAAGGCUGUUAGUGCAACAGUGAAAAGUGCACGCCCCGAGGCAACCACUGUACCUACAGCACCACGAGUCAAACCAGAACUUACUUUGCCAGUAAUUCCAACAGAAGUUGAACAGUCUAUUCUUGAGGACUUGAGAAACCGUGUACAGUUGAGUAGUGCUGCGUUGCCAUCUGUCAGCUUUUAUACAUUUAUCAACACACACAAUGGGUUAAAUUGUUCAUCUAUAUCCCAUGAUGGAUCCCUGGUUGCUGGUGGAUUUUCUGACUCGUCGCUGAAGGUCUGGGAUAUGGCAAAGAUAGGGCAACAAUAUGUUGGUUCAAUUCUGCAGGGUGAAAAUGGUACCGCUUCAAGUGAACAAGUUGCUGGAUCAAAUGGUAGGAAAAGGCCAUAUACAUUGUUUCAGGGUCAUUCAGGGCCAGUUUAUUCUGCUACUUUCAAUCCUCUGAGUGAUUUUAUACUUUCCUCUUCAGCAGACUCAACUAUUCGGUUGUGGAGCACAAACCUAAAUUCCAAUCUUGUUUGCUACAAGGGUCAUAACUACCCUGUUUGGGAUGUUCAGUUUAGCCCAGUAGGUCAUUAUUUUGCCAGUGCAUCACAUGAUAGAACAGCAAGAAUUUGGUCUAUGGACAGAAUACAGCCUCUGAGAAUAAUGGCAGGGCACUUAUCUGAUGUUGAUUGUGUACAAUGGCAUUCCAACUGCAACUACAUUGCAACUGGUUCUAGUGACAAAACAGUUAGAUUAUGGGACGUGCAGAGUGGAGAGUGUGUCCGAAUAUUCAUUGGCCACAGGAGUAUGAUUUUAUCUCUUGCAAUGUCACCUGAUGGUCGGUACAUGGCUUCGGGUGAUGAAGAUGGCUCAAUCAUGAUGUGGGAUCUUUCAAGUGGCCGCUGCGUUACACCUUUGAUGGGUCAUACCUCAUGCGUAUGGACAUUGGCUUUCAGUGGUGAAGGUUCACUCCUUGCUUCUGGAUCUGCUGAUUGCACGGUAAAAUUAUGGGACGUAACUGCAAGUACAAAGUUGCCAAAAGCUGAAGAAAAGUGAAAGUGGAAGUGCUAGCAGACUGAGGUCAUUGAAGACUUUACCAACCAAGUGUACGCCUGUCUACUCCUUGCGGUUUUCUCGAAGGAAUCUUUUGUUUGCAGCCGGGGUCCUUUCAAAAACUGUAUAAGUACACUCCCUCCAGACCUGAUCUAAUUCGAAGAGGCCGCCUAAGUUUGCUGUGCUCUGCAGUUCUGCAACACCUCACCACAAGAUACUCUUUUUAUCUUGCAUCCCUCCUCUAUUAAUUACUGCAGUGUACGGGACAAAACUAGCUAGAGUAAAUGGUAACGUGGGACCCUCACUUUUUUUUUCAUUUGGAUUGAGAUGAUGCAAACGUAAAGCCGUCUUACCGUUCUCAUUUGUUAUAUUGAAGAGAAUUUGAAGCUCGUAUUUUCCACUUGUACGGCGCAUUUUAAAAUAAAGGUUUUCAUGGCUGCCCUCAUAGUUUCA